CGGCGUGCCUAAUACAUGCAAGUCGAACGCUUCUUUUUCCACCGGAGCUUGCUCCACCGGAAAAAGAGGAGUGGCGAACGGGUGAGUAACACGUGGGUAACCUGCCCAUCAGAAGGGGAUAACACUUGGAAACAGGUGCUAAUACCGUAUAACAAUCGAAACCGCAUGGUUUUGAUUUGAAAGGCGCUUUCGGGUGUCGCUGAUGGAUGGACCCGCGGUGCAUUAGCUAGUUGGUGAGGUAACGGCUCACCAAGGCGACGAUGCAUAGCCGACCUGAGAGGGUGAUCGGCCACAUUGGGACUGAGACACGGCCCAAACUCCUACGGGAGGCAGCAGUAGGGAAUCUUCGGCAAUGGACGAAAGUCUGACCGAGCAACGCCGCGUGAGUGAAGAAGGUUUUCGGAUCGUAAAACUCUGUUGUUAGAGAAGAACAAGGAUGAGAGUAACUGUUCAUCCCUUGACGGUAUCUAACCAGAAAGCCACGGCUAACUACGUGCCAGCAGCCGCGGUAAUACGUAGGUGGCAAGCGUUGUCCGGAUUUAUUGGGCGUAAAGCGAGCGCAGGCGGUUUCUUAAGUCUGAUGUGAAAGCCCCCGGCUCAACCGGGGAGGGUCAUUGGAAACUGGGAGACUUGAGUGCAGAAGAGGAGAGUGGAAUUCCAUGUGUAGCGGUGAAAUGCGUAGAUAUAUGGAGGAACACCAGUGGCGAAGGCGGCUCUCUGGUCUGUAACUGACGCUGAGGCUCGAAAGCGUGGGGAGCAAACAGGAUUAGAUACCCUGGUAGUCCACGCCGUAAACGAUGAGUGCUAAGUGUUGGAGGGUUUCCGCCCUUCAGUGCUGCAGCUAACGCAUUAAGCACUCCGCCUGGGGAGUACGACCGCAAGGUUGAAACUCAAAGGAAUUGACGGGGGCCCGCACAAGCGGUGGAGCAUGUGGUUUAAUUCGAAGCAACGCGAAGAACCUUACCAGGUCUUGACAUCCUUUGACCACUCUAGAGAUAGAGCUUCCCCUUCGGGGGCAAAGUGACAGGUGGUGCAUGGUUGUCGUCAGCUCGUGUCGUGAGAUGUUGGGUUAAGUCCCGCAACGAGCGCAACCCUUAUUGUUAGUUGCCAUCAUUUAGUUGGGCACUCUAGCAAGACUGCCGGUGACAAACCGGAGGAAGGUGGGGAUGACGUCAAAUCAUCAUGCCCCUUAUGACCUGGGCUACACACGUGCUACAAUGGGAAGUACAACGAGUCGCAAAGUCGCGAGGCUAAGCUAAUCUCUUAAAGCUUCUCUCAGUUCGGAUUGUAGGCUGCAACUCGCCUACAUGAAGCCGGAAUCGCUAGUAAUCGCGGAUCAGCACGCCGCGGUGAAUACGUUCCCGGGCCUUGUACACACCGCCCGUCACACCACGAGAGUUUGUAACACCCGAAGUCGGUGAGGUAACCUUUUGGAGCCAGCCGCCUAAGGUGGGAUAGAUGAUUGGGGUGAAGUCGUAACAAGGUAGCCGUAUCGGAAGGUGCGGCUGGAUCACCUCCUUUCUAAGGAA
rnacentral:rRNA from 1 species